rnacentral:rRNA from 1 species
UACAGAGGGUGCAAGCGUUGUUCGGAAUUACUGGGCGUAAAGCGUGCGUAGGCGGUAUUGAGAGUCACGGGUGAAAGCCCCAAGCUUAACUUGGGAACUGCCUGUGAGACCUCAGUACUAGAGUGCGAGAGAGGAUGGUGGAAUUCCUAGUGUAGCGGUGAAAUGCGUAGAGAUUAGGAAGAACACCGGUGGCGAAGGCGACCAUCUGGCUCGUAACUGACGCUCAGGCACGAAAGCGUGGGGAGCAAACAGG